rnacentral:rRNA from 1 species
AGCAGCCGCCACGGUAAUACGAAGGGGGCUAGCGUUGUUCGGAAUUACUGGGCGUAAAGGGCGCGUAGGCGGCCAUUCAAGUUAGAUGUGAAAGCCCUGGGCUCAACCUAGGAAUUGCAUUUGAUACUGUUUGGCUUGAGUUCGGGAGAGGUGAGUGGAAUUCCCAGUGUAGAGGUGAAAUUCGUAGAUAUUGGGAAGAACACCGAUGGCGAAGGCAAUCCCCUGGACCUGUACUGACGCUCAUGCACGAAAGCGUGGGGAGCAAACAGGAUUAGAUACCCCCGUAGUCCCUGUCUCUUAUAC